GAAGCAUCAGUCGCUGGAGAGCUGAUUCCUUCUGGUGCUCGCACGCCCAUUGGUGAAUUUGAAGACGAAACAGCACCUCGUCUAUCUAGAGCAGACGUGGAUCAGCUUCUAUCUGAUCCUACAAGGUGGGCUAGUAUCAGACUUGGAGGCAACAUGCCGGCUCGAGCAGAGAGGACAAUGAGGAGAAGCGACUGUGAGUUCCAGCUAGUUGGUGAACCAACAGGAGAGUACUACGAGGUUGUUAUGAUCUUUGGAAUCAUAGACAUUCUUCAAGACUAUGACAUCAGCAAGAAACUCGAACACGCUUA